AGAAAAUUCUUAGAUGUGCUGGAUGUUUUGAUUCAUGAUGGCAAACAGGCUGAGAAGGAGCCAGGAGGACAACUCUAUGGUGCUGUUAUACUGUCUGCAUGCCAAUGCAACUCUGCUGAAGCACCAGGAAUCCUACAGGGGCUGCGUUGCCUUUGCCAGAGGAGAGCAAGGCAACACUCCAGUUCUCCAAGAAAAAACAAAGUAUAAAAGCAAACUCGAGAAUUACUGACAAACCUAAAAGAUAUUUCAAAUGGUGGGAAGAUGGCAUCCAGCUGAUAUAAGAGAAGGAACGAACAACCCUGCAAACCACUGGCAUGUGUAUAUCGACAUCCAAAAAUACACCCGGACAGCGCAUCUGAAAACUGCGUGUAAGAGAAGGAGGAUGGCUCUCCCCAAACCUUGUAUUCUGCUGGACCUGAUGCGUGGGCCUGUGGCAGCGCUGCUCUGUGUCAGGAGCCUAACCCCAUGCAAAGCCUCUGAAGGUACAAAGUUAAAAUCCUUACUCUCCUCUGGCUGACUGUGCACGAGUUAUUCUUCUGCUAUUGUGCAAAUAAAGUGGCAUUAAGAGAUGGAGGGUAGAAUGCU
rnacentral:lncRNA from 1 species